rnacentral:rRNA from 1 species
GCUCACUGAAUUAUUUAAAGAGCCGCAGUAAUUUGACUGUACUAAGGUAGCAUAAUCAAUAGCUUUUUAAUUGACGACUUGUAUGAAGGGUUAAAUAAUAUAUUAUCUGUCUUAAUAUUUUUAGUUAGAAAUUAAUUUUUUAGUGAAAAAGCUAAAAUUAUUUUAAGGGACGAGAAGACCCUAUAGAGUUUAAUUUAUAACAAAAAUUAAUGUAAAUUUGUUAAAUUAAAUAAUUCUUUAUAUAAAUUUAAUUGGGGAGAUUAGUAGAUAAAUAAAACUCUAUUAUUUUAAUUAUAAUUUAAUUAAAGUGUUUUAGAUUUUUUAGUAUAUAUUUAUGAUUAAAUUACCUUAGGGAUAACAGCGUAAUUAUUUUUGAGAGUUCUUAUUGACAAAAUAGUUUGCGACCUCGAUGUUGGAUUAAAUUUAAAUUUAAUAUGAAGGAGUAUAAAGAUUUAAGUCUGUUCGACUUAUAAUUUUUUACAUGAUCUGAGUUCAAAUCGGAGUAAGCCAGGUUGG